rnacentral:rRNA from 1 species
CGGUAAUUCCAGCUCCAAUAGCGUAUAUUAAAGUUGUUGCGGUAAAAAAGCUCGUAGUUGGAUUUCUGUUGAGGGCGACCGGUCCAUACCAUGUAUGCGCAUCUGGCUCGGCCUCGGCAUCCUCUCGAAAGACGUUUCUGCGCUUCAUUGCGUGGAGCGGAUCUCGGGACUUUUACUUUGAGGAAAUUAGAGUGUUCACGGCAGGCUAUCGCCAGAAUACAUUAGCAUGGAAUAAUACUAUAGGAUCUUGGUUCUAUUUUGUUGGUUUCUAGAGUUGAGAUAAUGAUUAAUAGGGACAAUUGGGGGCAUUCGUAUCAACACGUCAGAGGUGGAAUUCUUGGAUUGUGUUGCGACGAACUACUGCGAAAGCAUUUGCCAAGGAUGUUUUCAUUGAUCAAGAACGAAAGUAAGGGGAUCGAAGACGAUUAGAUACCGUCGUAGUCUUUACCAUAAACUAUGCCAACUAGAAAUGGGACAUCGUUCACUUACGACUUGUUCCGCGUCUUAUGAGAUAUCAAAGUUUUUGGGUUCCGGGGGGAGUAUGGUCGCAAGUCUGAAACUUAAAGGAAUUGACGGAAGGGCACCACCAGGAGUGGAGCCUGCGGCUUAAUUCGACUCAACACGGGGAAACUCACCAGGUCCAGACAUAAUAAGGAUUGACAGAUUGAUAGCUCUUUCUUGAUUUUAUGGGUGGUGGUGCAUGGCCGUUCUUAGUUCGUGGAGUGAUUUGUCUGCUUAAUUGCGUUAACGAACGAGACCUUAACCUGCUAAAUAGGAGCGCAUAUCUCUGGAUAAGCGCCUUUCUUCUUAGAGGGACUUUAUGCGUUUCAGCAUGAGGAAGUUUGAGGCUAAAACAAGUCUGUGAUGCCCUUAGAUGUUCUGGGCUGCACGCGCGCUACACUGAUGCGUUCAACGAGUGUACAACCUUGCCCGAUAGGGUUGGGUAACCUUUUGAACACGCAUCGUGAUGGGGAUCGAUUAUUGCAAUUAUUAAUCGUCAACGAGGAAUUCCUAGUAAUGAUGGAUCAUCAGUUCAUUGUGAUUACGUCCCUGCCCCUUGUACACACCGCCC